rnacentral:rRNA from 1 species
UACGUAGGGUGCAAGCGUUGUCCGGAAUUAUUGGGCGUAAAGAGCUCGUAGGCGGUUUGUCGCGUCGAAUGUGAAAACCCGGGGCUCAACCCCGGGCCUGCAUUCGAUACGGGCAGACUAGAGUUCGGUAGGGGAGUCUGGAAUUCCUGGUGUAGCGGUGAAAUGCGCAGAUAUCUGGAGGAAUACCGGUGGCGAAGGCGGCAUCCUGGACCGGCAUUGACGCUGAGGAGCGAAAGCCAGGGGAGCAAACGGG